rnacentral:rRNA from 1 species
CCCUUAGAUGUUCUGGGCCGCACGCGCGCUACACUGUUCGACGCAGCGAGUCUUAACCUUGACCGAAAGGUUUGGGUAAUCUUCAGCAAAGUCGAACGUGAUGGGGAUCGAUCAUUGCAAUUAUUGAUCGUGAACGAGGAAUUCCUAGUAAGUGCAAGUCAUCAGCUUGCGCUGAUUACGUCCCUGCCCUUUGUAAACACCGCCCGUCGCUACUACCGAUUGAAUGGUUUAGUGAGAUCUCUGGAUUGACGCUGGCUAGGGGGCGACCCUUGGCCAGACUGUUGAGAAACUGCUCAAACUUGAUCAUUUAGAGGAAGUAAAAGUCGUAACA